CCCAUGUGAACAUACCAUACGUUGCCUCGGCAGGUCGCGCCUACCCCGUAGCGUCCUACCCUAUAGGACCUACCCGGUAGACGCGGGUAAGCCUGCCGGCGGCCCAAGAAACUCUGUUUAGUAUUGAAUUCUGAACCUAUAACUAAAUAAGUUAAAACUUUCAACAACGGAUCUCUUGGUUCUGGCAUCGAUGAAGAACGCAGCGAAAUGCGAUAAGUAAUGUGAAUUGCAGAAUUCAGUGAAUCAUCGAAUCUUUGAACGCACAUUGCGCCCAUUAGUAUUCUAGUGGGCAUGCCUGUUCGAGCGUCAUUUCAACCCUUAAGCCCUCGUUGCUUAGUGUUGGGAGCCUACGGUACCCGUAGCUCCUCAAAGUUAGUGGCGGAGUCGGUUCACACUCUAGACGUAGUAAUUUUAUCUCGCCUAUCAGUUGGACCGGUCCCCUGCCGUAAAACACCCCAAUUUCUAAAGGUUGACCUCGGAUCAGGUAGGAAUACCCGCUGAACUUAAGCAUAUCAAUAAGCCGGAGGAA
rnacentral:rRNA from 1 species